rnacentral:lncRNA from 1 species
AAUUGAUCCACUCCGUUAGUUUGUUAAUGUCUAAAUUUUUUGAUUUGAUUUUAACCGUUUGAUUGCAUGUCCAUUGUAUCUAUAGUGAACCGUCAGCACCUAAUUUUUUUUAUUUUUCAUCAUCUUCUCUCUUCUUCUUCCUCAAUCUAUAUCAACAUUUUCCCAGAACCGGAACGAACCUCACGAACGGAGCAAGACUACAAAGCAACGCCAUAAAACCUUCAAAGCAAGAAGAGAAACCACGCUGAACAAACAAAGAGAAGAAACUGAUAAAACCUGCGCAGUGAAAAGCUAGAAAGGUAAGCUUCAAGAUCUGGAGAAUCGACCGAAAUUGGAGAACAAUCGGAGGAGAGAGGUGCGAAUCUAAGCAGUUACGGAGGAGAAUGGAGCAAAACCAACGCCGGAAGGAGAAGAAAGGUCUCCUGUGCGAAUCUGUCCAUCAAUUUUCUCUUCAAAACUGAUCUCCCUUCCACGAAAGGGUCGUUCUCCGUUGCGCCACGCCGCCGUCAUGCACCACCACCAUUCCUAUAGUUUUCGCCCAUCCCUUCAGCGUCGCCCUGCACCUCUGUUCUUAUCUUGGUUUGUUCAUAAUUUGGAUUUGAUACUCUGUUGUUUCUAGUUACUAUUGUAUUGAAUGUUUGAAGAAAGAAUAUUGAUGGAGACCCUAGAAAGAAGAAGAAGAAGCUCAGAUUGAAGAAGAAGAAUAUUGAUGUAUUGAAUGUUUUAAGGAGUGUUUUAGCCUUGUGGUAUAAUUAAAAGAAAGUUAAAUGGGUAUCAACAUUGACGAGAAUGAAAAUCAAUUCAAUGGGUUAUGAUUUUCUAAAUUAUUUUCUCUAUCUCUAAAAUUCAUUCAUGUUCUAACUCAGAAUCAUGUUGACAGAGAAAAUUGAGAUGAAUAUCAUAUAUGAAUUUACUUAGGUUUUUUUUUCUUUCUUCCUAGGUUGUUGUGAUGAAUAAUGAAUAUAUGAUGAUAAAGAUGAAGAAAAGCUGGAGGAAAGAG